AUUGAACGCUGGCGGCAGGCCUACCUUAUGCAAGUCGAGCGGAUGAAGGGAGCUUGCUCCUGGAUUCAGCGGCGGACGGGUGAGUAAUGCCUAGGAAUCUGCCUGGUAGUGGGGGAUAACGUCCGGAAACGGGCGCUAAUACCGCAUACGUCCUGAGGGAGAAAGUGGGGGAUCUUCGGACCUCACGCUAUCAGAUGAGCCUAGGUCGGAUUAGCUAGUUGGUGGGGUAAAGGCCUACCAAGGCGACGAUCCGUAACUGGUCUGAGAGGAUGAUCAGUCACACUGGAACUGAGACACGGUCCAGACUCCUACGGGAGGCAGCAGUGGGGAAUAUUGGACAAUGGGCGAAAGCCUGAUCCAGCCAUGCCGCGUGUGUGAAGAAGGUCUUCGGAUUGUAAAGCACUUUAAGUUGGGAGGAAGGGCAGUAAGUUAAUACCUUGCUGUUUUGACGUUACCAACAGAAUAAGCACCGGCUAACUUCGUGCCAGCAGCCGCGGUAAUACGAAGGGUGCAAGCGUUAAUCGGAAUUACUGGGCGUAAAGCGCGCGUAGGUGGUUCAGCAAGUUGGAUGUGAAAUCCCCGGGCUCAACCUGGGAACUGCAUCCAAAACUACUGAGCUAGAGUACGGUAGAGGGUGGUGGAAUUUCCUGUGUAGCGGUGAAAUGCGUAGAUAUAGGAAGGAACACCAGUGGCGAAGGCGACCACCUGGACUGAUACUGACACUGAGGUGCGAAAGCGUGGGGAGCGAACGGGAUUAGAUACCCUGGUAGUCCACGCCGUAAACGAUGUCGACUAGCCGUUGGGAUCCUUGAGAUCUUAGUGGCGCAGCUAACGCGAUAAGUCGACCGCCUGGGGAGUACGGCCGCAAGGUUA
rnacentral:rRNA from 1 species